rnacentral:rRNA from 1 species
UGGGGGAUAUUGCACAAUGGGGGGAACCCUGAUGCAGCGACGCCGCGUGAGUGAAGAAGUAUUUCGGUAUGUAAAGCUCUAUCAGCAGGGAAGAAAAUGACGGUACCUGACGAAGAAGCCCCGGCUAACUACGUGCCAGCAGCCGCGGUAAUACGUAGGGGGCAAGCGUUAUCCGGAUUUACUGGGUGUAAAGGGAGCGUAGACGGCACAGCAAGUCAGAAGUGAAAGCCCGGGGCUCAACUGCGGGACUGCUUUUGAAACUGUUGAGCUGGAGUGCAGGAGAGGUAAGCGGAAUUCCUGGUGUAGCGGUGAAAUGCGUAGAUAUCAGGAGGAACACCAGUGGCGAAGGCGGCUUACUGGACUGUAACUGACGUUGAGGCUCGAAAGCGUGGGGAGCAAACAGG